GGAGACGCCCGAAGCCGAUUAUCUAACCUUUUGGAAGAAGUCGUCGAAGGUGGAAUCAAUAACUGGGGUGAAGUCGUAACAAGGUAGCCGUAUCGGAAGGUGCGGCUGGAUCACCUCCUUUCUAAGGAGAAUUACCUACUGUUUAAUUUUGAGGGUUCGUUUUUACGAAUACUCAAAAUUAGCACUUUUAGCAACAGAAUAAACUGAACGCAUGUGAAGUUUGUUUGUUGGCGCUGUGCGUUAGCACUUUAAGCAACGGGAUUUAUCCGUUGGCGCCGUGCUUUAGCACUUUGAAAAC
rnacentral:rRNA from 1 species